rnacentral:lncRNA from 1 species
UCUAUAGUCCAUACCAUGAUGUUUAUAGACUUUGUAACUACAUAUUUCUGGGAUAAGUGAUAAUCAUAGCACAGUAGUAGUUCUUGCCCUGCCCCCUGUGAUCUAUAAUUAUGACGCUUAACAAUCACUUUGCAGUUAUUCAAUGCAGCCUUACGAGAAAUAACCAAAAAAUUGCUCUUUCAAUGUCGUAUCUAUUAUUACAUUCAUGAUCUAUAUUUGAUCAAGCCAUUGAACUGCAGGCUACAAGUUUGAUGACAAGAAAGCCGAGUCCCCUGUUCUGAGGAUCUCCUUUGCACACUUUCCCUUUAGCCUACCAUCUGACCUGGAUAGGCAACAAUUGGGCGCUUGAUGACACGAGAUAACCAAUUGGAUGUCCUCGAAAUACUGCAGUUGGUCAGCCCAUUACACAUCCUACUAGAAAGGUGAUUUAUGAGUCAAGUAUUCGAAUGGCAUUGUAUNACAUUCAUGAUCUAUAUUUGAUCAAGCCAUUGAACUGCAGGCUACAAGUUUGAUGACAAGAAAGCCGAGUCCCCUGUUCUGAGGAUCUCCUUUGCACACUUUCCCUUUAGCCUACCAUCUGACCUGGAUAGGCAACAAUUGGGCGCUUGAUGACACGAGAUAACCAAUUGGAUGUCCUCGAAAUACUGCAGUUGGUCAGCCCAUUACACAUCCUACUAGAAAGGUGAUUUAUGAGUCAAGUAUUCGAAUGGCAUUGUAUC